ensembl:snoRNA SNORA71 Small nucleolar RNA SNORA71
CCCUGUAUCGAAAGUGAUUGUGGCAUGACUGUUGCCAGGUCAUUGAUAGUACAGGAAGAUUGAACUGAAAGACUUUCCCGUGUUUGUGGGGGUUCCAGUCCCUGUCAAACCCUGUACCUUUCAGACA